rnacentral:rRNA from 1 species
UACGGAGGGUGCAAGCGUUAAUCGGAAUUACUGGGCGUAAAGCGUGCGCAGGCGGUUUGUUAAGUCCGUUGUGAAAGCCCCGAGCUCAACUUGGGAAUUGCAGUGGAUACUGGCAGGCUGGAGUACGGUAGAGGAAGGUGGAAUUCCCGGUGUAGCAGUGAGAUGCGUAGAUAUCGGGAGGAACACCAGUGGCGAAGGCGGCCUUCUGGACCAGUACUGACGCUCAUGCACGAAAGCGUGGGGAGCAAACAGG